UACGGAGGGGCUAGCGUUGUUCGGAAUUACUGGGCGUAAAGCGCGCGUAGGCGGACCUGCAAGUCGGGGGUGAAAGCCCGAGGCUCAACCUCGGAACUGCCUUCGAUACUGCGGGUCUCGAGUCCGGGAGAGGUGAGUGGAAUUCCUAGUGUAGAGGUGAAUUCGUAGAUAUUAGGAAGAACACCAGUGGCGAAGGCGGCGCUCUGGACCGAGACUGACGCUGAGGCGCGAAAGCGUGGGGAGCAAACAGG
rnacentral:rRNA from 1 species